AGUAGCCUGCCUCUAAGAGGGGAAUAACAUUCUGAAAAGAAUGCUAAUACCGCAUAACAUAUAUUUAUCGCAUGGUAGAUAUAUCAAAGAUUUAUCGCUUAGAGAUGGACUCGCGUCCGAUUAGUUAGUUGGUGAGGUAACGGCUCACCAAGACUGCGAUCGGUAGCCGGACUGAGAGGUUGAACGGCCACAUUGGGACUGAGACACGGCCCAG
rnacentral:rRNA from 1 species